rnacentral:tRNA from 1 species
GCAAAAUUAGUUCAGUGGCAGAAUGGUGGUCUUCCAAACCGUUGGCCGGGGGUUCGAUUCCCCGAUUUUGCA